rnacentral:rRNA from 1 species
UACGGGGGGGGGCAAGCGUUGUUCGGAAUUACUGGGCGUAAAGGGCUCGUAGGUGGCCAACUAAGUCAGACGUGAAAUCCCCAGGCUUAACCUGGGAACUGCGUCUGAUACUGGAUGGCUUGAAUUCGGGAGAGGGAUGCAGAAUUCCAGGUGUAGCGGUGAAAUGCGUAGAUAUCUGGAGGAAUACCGGUGGCGAAGGCGGGUCUCUGGGCAACAACUGACGCUGAGGAGCGAAAGCGUGGGGAGCGAACAGG